GUCUACGGCCACACCACCCUGAACAAGCUGGAUCCCCUCUGAUCUCGGAAGCUAAGCAGGGUUGGGCUUGGAUGGGAGACCACCUAGAAACACCUAGUGCUGUAGGCG
rnacentral:rRNA from 1 species